UCUCCGUAGGUGAACCUGCGGAGGGAUCAUUACUGAGUGAGGGCUUCGGUCCGACCUCCAACCCUUUGUGAACCAAACUUGUUGCUUCGGGGGCGACCCUGCCGCUUCGGCGGAGCGGCGCCCCCGGAGGCCAUUAAACACUGCAUCAUUGCGUCGGAGUUAAAGUAAAUUAAACAAAACUUUCAACAACGGAUCGCUGGGUGCCAGAAUCGAUGAAGAACGCAGC
rnacentral:misc_RNA from 1 species